GCUAUCUAAUUUCUCUCUAGAAAAUCCUACUUUCUCUCUCUACAUGUUCCUCUAUCUAGAAGUGUCUUUCUCAAGAUUGUGCCUCUCUUAUAAAAUUUUAUGGAUCUUAAAAGAUAUUUUAAUAACCUUGACAAGCCUUGAUGAAAGAAUCUCGAUAGUUGACAAUCGAACACCUACCAGACUGCCAAACAAUGUACCGACCUCCAUCUUAAUUGGGCCAAGCAUCAUUAAAUUUUGCCAUCAAUUACAUUUGAGCAUCCUAGCAAGACCAUUGAAUUGUAGUUGACCAUUUGGAUGCCUUAGAUUGAAUCAACUGGAAUGUCGGUUGUUACCACCAAGCCAGUCCUAUGAAGAUUUCAAAAUUUAGGAUUUUAAUUUUAAAAAUAAUCAUGAUUAAAUUUAGACAAAAAUAUGAUUUUGGUUAUAAUAAUUUGAAAGAAAAUUUGGAGAGAUUCAUUGUUCGUGUAAGAUUAAGAUAGCUCUAUGUCAGAUAAAAAUAGCUGCUUAAGAUACU
rnacentral:lncRNA from 1 species